rnacentral:tRNA from 1 species
GCGAAGGUGGCGGAAUUGGUAGACGCGCUAGCUUCAGGUGUUAGUGCUCUUACGGACGUGAGGGUUCAAGUCCCUCUCUUCGCACCA